CUGGCGGAGGCCGCUGCGUUCCCCGACGGCCGCCGGGAGGGGGCCGGCCGAGGGACUGAGCCCGGGGCUGCGCAGUCAGACGCUGACCGGGCGCGAGCGGCGACGCGGGGCUUGCCGCGCUGAGCAGAGAGCAGAGCCUGCAGGGAGCUCCAGCCCCAC